rnacentral:rRNA from 1 species
AAUUCCUUGUCGGUUAAAUACCGACCUGCAUGAAUGGCGUAACGAGAUGGGAGCUGUCUCAAAGAGGGAUCCAGUGAAAUUGUAGUGGAGGUGAAAAUUCCUCCUACCCGCGGCAAGACGGAGAGACCCCGUGGACCUUUACUACAGCUUGACACUGCUAUUUGGAUAAGAAUGUGCAGGAUAGGUGGGAGGCUUUGAGUAUAUGACGCCAGUUGUAUAUGAGCCAUUGUUGAGAUACCACUCUUUCUUAUUUGGGUAGCUAACCAGCUUGAGUUAUCCUCAAGUGGA